UGCCAGCCGCCGCGGUAAUACAGAGGGUGCAAGCGUUAAUCGGAAUCACUGGGCGUAAAGCGCACGUAGGCGGAUAGAUAUGUUGGCUGUGAAAGACCCGGGCUCAACCUGGGAAGGCCAGCCAAAACUGUUUGUCUAGAGUACAGUAGAGGAGAGCGGAAUUUCCGGUGUAGCGGUGAAAUGCGUAGAUAUCGGAAGGAACACCAGUGGCGAAGGCGGCUCUCUGGCCUGAUACUGACGCUGAGGUGCGAAAGCGUGGGGAGCGAACAGGAUUAGAUA
rnacentral:rRNA from 1 species